rnacentral:ncRNA from 2 species
CCAAUAGCGUAUAUUAAAGUUGUUGCAGUUAAAAAGCUCGUAGUUGAAUUUCGGGAUCAAUACGUCGGUCGUGCUUUCGGGUACGUACUGGCGUCAUUGGUUUCUCCUUUCUGACGAACCAUGAUGUCAUUAAUUUGGUGUUAUGGGGAGUUAGGACUGUUACUUUGAAAAAAUUAGAGUGUUUAAAGCAGGCAUUAGCUUGAAUACAUUAGCAUGGAAUAAUGAAAUAGGACGUUCGAUCCUAUUUUGUUGGUUUCUAGGAUCAACGUAAUGAUUAAUAGGGAUAGUUGGGGGCAUUAGUAUUCAAUUGUCAGAGGUGAAAUUCUUGGAUUUAUUGAAGACUAACUACUGCGAAAGCAUUUGCCAAGGAUGUUUUCAUUAAUCAAGAACGAAAGUUAGGGGAUCGAAGACGAUCAGAUACCGUCGUAGUCUUAACCAUAAACUAUGCCGACUAGGGAUCGGAUGAUGUUAAUUUUUUAAUGACUCAUUCGGCGCCUUACG